rnacentral:rRNA from 1 species
UACGGGGGGAGCAAGCGUUGUUCGGAUUUACUGGGCGUAAAGGGCGCGUAGGCGGCCAGCACAAGUCAGUUGUGAAAUCUCCGAGCUUAACUCGGAACGGUCAACUGAUACUGUGCGGCUAGAGUGCAGAAGGGGCAACUGGAAUUCUUGGUGUAGCGGUGAAAUGCGUAGAUAUCAAGAGGAACACCUGCGGCGAAGGCGGGUUGCUGGGCUGACACUGACGCUGAGGACGAAAGCUAGGGGAGCAAACAGG